CAAUGUGUAUCGGGGAAACCGGCUAGGAUUUAGUCAGAAAUUUUUAUCGAAGUGAAUUAUGCCGGUGUUUUGGUGGUAAACUUAAUUAUCAUGGGCGACGUUCUGUCCGGCUUGGUACGCUGUGUGGGUGGUUUUUGAUCAAUGGCUGGGAAAUGGGGUCUGGGAUCAUCGGAUAUUGCCUAUAUAUAGUGAGCUUGAAAACCGGUCGCUGGACAAGAUGUUUCGGGUAGGGAGGAUCACCACAGUCAGAGUUAUUGGAAGUGGUAUGGCCUUGAGAGCAAAUCUGAAUGACCUUAUAACUUCGAUAUAGUCCGUGAUCUGGCAUUGGAAGUGCAAGUAAUCGUGUGGACAUUUUCUCUGUGGCUUGGUUGACUCUUUGCCGGUCCGAUUUAGCGAAUCAAAUGGAUUCCGCUAGUAGAUAGAUUUUCGUAUCAUGGUGAUUUUGUUGGUUCAUUGAAAGAACCAUGUAAUUUCCAGCAAAACAUCUCGUGCGGCAUUCCAUUUUGGGUAAUAUACGCCUUAUCCCGAAACAUUUUUCCGGAAACGUGUCAAUCUCUCAAUCCUGCCCUUAUCUUGUUAGUAAUUGGAUCUGCUGAACGACAUAAGGGCAGGAUUGACAGGUCGACACAUUUCUGAAAGAAUGUUUGGGGAUGAGGCAUAUAUUACGCGAAUUUGGCAGAAAUUUAUGUAGUUCUUUCGAUGAUCAUGAGUUGAACAUUUCUUUCAAAGGAUCUUUUCAAUUCUGUUUGUAUAUUCAGUCAUGCUCCGCUUUAUGUUUCUUCAUUUUGGUUGGAAGCUUUUUCUUCGUUCUGUAUACAUUUGUUCCCUUACCAAGGCAUGUUGUCAAUCUGCUUGCUAGGGAGGGACUUAUUCAUAAUUUCUUGACAGCUUCUCCUUUAC